UUUUAAUUCAUGGAUAGUUUUAUUGCGAGUGUCAUGGAAAGCUUGAACUUUUCAGUACACAACAUGCAAACUGAGAAUGAACUGUGUGUGCCGGCUUUGUGAACAAAAACGCAAGGCGGCUAUGAUACACUGUGUUGUGUGUGGAUAAGAAAUGCAGAGUGGUACCACCAAUCACCUAAGCCACCAUUCCCCUUACAGACAAAAGGCUCAUGGGGACAGUUCCUGCAGUUUACAGCAAAGCUCUCAAUUGUAGCCCUACAAACUUCAGAUACUGCCCAUGGUGAAGCUUGGGUGCACUGGGCCGGUUAUCCAGCCGUGUGGAAUCAACAUCUCCAGCUGAACUUGGGCCGGGAAUUAUAUGAGAAUCCUUAGCAGCAUGAGUGCCAGCCAGUCAUUGCUGUUCUUUGCAUUGCUGAGGAGGACAGUCCUGCCAACAUAACAGUUUGUUCAAUAACAGGAGACAAACAGAAACACAGAGGUGCUAUACAUUUCAAUGGAAAAACAAAAGCAUCUCCCAUCAUUUUGGCGUGGCUCAGAUCAAGAGGAGAAUUUCAAGAAAGGUGAUGGUUGGCACACACAAGAAGACAUAGAUCACAGGUGUCCAGGCAUAUGAGUAGACAGGAGUUUCACACUCUGCCAAACUUACUUCAUCAGAGGAGCAGAAGGCUUCUCAAGAUCCCGCACUGCACACUUAGAUAUAGUCUUUGACUACAACAAGGGGAUGAAAGUACAGAAAGGUCCAAUUGAAAUCAAUUCUGUGCUGCGUCAUUUCUUCAUUCUGGAAGUCGAUGGACAUAAUUUAUCAUGGCAUCAAGUGUGCAGUUUGUCGACUAUCAGCAGUCUUGUUCACCAGUUGUGCAACUUGAGCUGGUAGCUUUAUUGCUUGAAGCCACAGCAUAAGAGGGGGAAGGUGCAGGCUCAUCAAAAAGUCUCAAAAGUUGAAACUAGGAAAAGAAG